rnacentral:rRNA from 1 species
GGGCCCGCACAAGCGGUGGAGCAUGUGGUUUAAUUCGAAGCAACGCGAAGAACCUUACCAGGUCUUGACAUACUCGUGCUAUUCCUAGAGAUAGGAAGUUCCUUCGGGACACGGGAUACAGGUGGUGCAUGGUUGUCGUCAGCUCGUGUCGUGAGAUGUUGGGUUAAGUCCCGCAACGAGCGCAACCCUUAUCUUUAGUUGCCAUCAUUAGGUUGGGCACUCUAGAGAGACUGCCGGUGACAAACCGGAGGAAGGUGGGG